UAGAGAUUACUCUCUAACUUCUAAGAAAUAUAAAUGCACGAAGGGCACGAAGCUACAGUAUUUGUUUUCAUGUAGAAAUACUGUCGUCUACGAGUUCAUUUAAUGAUAUUGAACGUUCCUUGGAGUAAGAUUUGACUGAGAAGAGGCAAAAUAGAAGAGGCAGUAGUUGACUUCAUGUAUGUCCUUGCUUUGCUUUGCCUUGUCUUAGACCAGACACUUUGUUGUGAAUGUUUAGAUAUGGGAAGAGGAGCUAAAAUGAUCAGCACCAUAUUCUGUGGAUCCCAAUAAAAUGCUAUUUUAAUGGGGUGUAUUAUUGGUUAUGAUAAAUAUUUGGCCAUUUCUUUCUGAUGAUAAAAGUAAUGCAUAUUUAUGUAUCUGUGUCACAGGUUAUUCACAAGUGGCUCCAGUCUGGUUUGGGGGACUACGCUUUCUCGUCCUGUCCUGCCACCCAAGUAAAGUUAUUCACUAGUGGCUCCAGUCUGGUUUGGGGGUCUACGCUUUCUCAUCCUGUCCUGCCACCCAAGUAAAGUUAUUCACAAGUGGCUCCAGUCUGGUUUGGGGGUCUACGCUUUCUCAUCCUGUCCUGCCACCCAAGUAAAGUUAUUCACAAGUGGCUCCAGUCUGGUUUGGGGGUCUACGCUUUCUCGUCCUGUCCUGCCACCCAAGUAAAGUUAUUCACAAAUGGCUCCAGUCUGGUUUGGGGGUCUAUGCUUUCUCAUCCUGUCCUGCCACCCAAGUAAAGUGCUGUGAGGAAAAACACAGUAACAUGGUCAGCCAACGACGCGGUGGUCACUAAGCACGUGUAACUUGCGUUGUGUAAUGCUGGGUAAUGACGAUGAGGG